rnacentral:rRNA from 1 species
UAGGGAAUCUUCCGCAAUGGGCGAAAGCCUGACGGAGCAACGCCGCGUGAGUGAUGAAGGUCUUCGGAACGUAAAACUCUGUUAUUAGGGAAGAACAAAUGUGUAAGUAACUAUGCACGUCUUGACGGUACCUAAUCAGAAAGCCACGGCUAACUACGUGCCAGCAGCCGCGGUAAUACGUAGGUGGCAAGCGUUAUCCGGAAUUAUUGGGCGUAAAGCGCGCGUAGGCGGUUUUUUAAGUCUGAUGUGAAAGCCCACGGCUCAACCGUGGAGGGUCAUUGGAAACUGGAAAACUUGAGUGCAGAAGAGGAAAGUGGAAUUCCAUGUGUAGCGGUGAAAUGCGCAGAGAUAUGGAGGAACACCAGUGGCGAAGGCGACUUUCUGGUCUGUAACUGACGCUGAUGUGCGAAAGCGUGGGGAUCAAACAGG